UACGGAGGGUGCAAGCGUUAUCCGGAUUUACCGGGUUUAAAGGGUGCGUAGGUGGAUAAGUAAGUCAGUGGUGAAAGCUCCGAGCUUAACUCGGAAACUGCCAUUGAUACUGCUCAUCUUGAAUAUUGUGGAGGUUGGCGGAAUGUGUCAUGUAGUGGUGAAAUACUUAGAUAUGACACAGAACACCGAUUGCGAAGGCAGCUGGCUACACAAUUAUUGACACUGAGGCACGAAAGCGUGGGGAUCAAACAGG
rnacentral:rRNA from 1 species